CCCAUGUCUAGACCGAGCGUGUGCCACUGGACCUCAGUCCUCGCCUGGAGGAGACGCUGGACUUUGGCGAGGUGGAAGUGGAGCCCAGUGAGGUGGAAGACUUUGAGGCUCGUGGGAGCCGCUUCUCCAAGUCUGCUGAUGAGAGACAGCGCAUGCUGGUGCAGCGUAAGGACGAACUCCUCCAGCAAGCUCGCAAACGUUUCUUGAACAAAAGUUCUGAAGACGAUGCAGCCUCAGAGAGCUUCCUCCCCUCGGACGGUGCGUCCUCUGACCCCGUGACCCUGCGUCGAAGGAUGCUGGCUGCUGCCGCGGAACGGAGGCUUCAGAAGCAGCAGACCUCCUAGCGCUCCCUUGCCUUCCGCAGCUGCCUCCUGCGCCCUGUGCCCGACUGACUGGAGGAGGCUUGUCCCAAUUCUGCCCGCUCCAUGGAAAAGCGGGCUUGACUGCAUUGCCGCUGUAUAAAGCAUGUGGUCUUAUAGUGUUUGGACAGCUGAUAAAUUUAAUCCUUCUUUGUAAUACUUUCUAUGUGACAUUUCUCUUCCCCUUAGAAACACUGCAAAUUUUAACUCUAGGUAUGAUCUCUUCUGGUGUUGACUGGACUGCUUGGGGUGGGGGACGAUCAGGAGGAAGUGAGCAGUCACUUGCCUGCAGCAGGCAGCUUCUACUCCUGCCUCAUGCGUACAUCCCACAAAUGCAGGUGUCUGAGCACCACAUCCAGUGGGAAGAGUGUGGGGGAGACGCACAGUGUGAGCCCGCCCCCACAUCGUGGGGUAACAUCUGUUAUCAAACUGCUGUCGUUGUUGUGGAAGCAUGUAGACUGUGCCAGAGGCCAGACCCACAGGCUCAUGUACCCCUGAGCCAGCAGGGCAUCUUGGAAAAGGAAUUCUUGGUUCAAUACCUGGAGCAGAGGAGGGGAAAGUCCAGGGCUAUAGGGUGUGACGAAAUCACCCCUUUCUGUCCCACUACAUCUGGGACUGACUUUCUGAGCCUCCAGUCCAAAGCCGGCUUGAUUUCCAUGAACUCUGGUGCUCCUGCAUCUCAUGAGUGUGCCCCAUGGGUCCCCUCCCCUCUGAGCAUUUCCUUGUCCCGUCUGGACCUGGGGAGUGGUUAAGCAGCAAGGUUUGGUUUAUGGUUUUCAUUCAUUGGUCAAGUAAAUUAGGCAAUGCUAAAGCCUGUAGGUUUGGUCCUUGAACAAGAUGUGGGCCCUGCAAGAUGGGAGAGUAAACCUU
rnacentral:sRNA from 1 species